AGACCCGAAACCCGGUGAUCUAGCCAUGGGCAGGUUGAAGGUUGGGUAACACUAACUGGAGGACCGAACCGACUAAUGUUGAAAAAUUAGCGGAUGACCUGUGGCUGGGGGUGAAAGGCCAAUCAAACCGGGAGAUAGCUGGUUCUCCCCGAAAGCUAUUUAGGUAGCGCCUCGUGAAUUCAUCUCCGGGGGUAGAGCACUGUUUCGGCUAGGGGGCCAUCCCGGCUUACCAACCCGAUGCAAACUGCGAAUACCGGAGAAUGUUAUCACGGGAGACACACGGCGGGUGCUAACGUCCGUCGUGAAGAGGGAAACAACCCAGACCGCCAGCUAAGGUCCCAAAGUCAUGGUUAAGUGGGAAACGAUGUGGGAAGGCCCAGACAGCCAGGAUGUUGGCUUAGAAGCAGCCAUCAUUUAAAGAAAGCGUAAUAGCUCACUGGUCGAGUCGGCCUGCGCGGAAGAUGUAACGGGGCUAAACCAUGCACCGAAGCUGCGGCAGCGACGCUGAUGCGUUGUUGGGUAGGGGAGCGUUCUGUAAGCCUGCGAAGGUGGCCUGUGAGGGUUGCUGGAGGUAUCAGAAGUGCGAAUGCUGACAUAAGUAACGAUAAAGCGGGUGAAAAGCCCGCUCGCCGGAAGACCAAGGGUUCCUGUCCAACGUUAAUCGGGGCAGGGUGAGUCGACCCCUAAGGCGAGGCCGAAAGGCGUAGUCGAUGGGAAACGGGUUAAUAUUCCCGUACUUGGUGUUACUGCGAAGGGGGGACGGAGAAGGCUAUGUUGGCCGGGCGACGGUUGUCCCGGUUUAAGCGUGUAGGUGUGUGUUCCAGGUAAAUCCGGUUCACUUUAACACUGAGGCGUGAUGACGAGGCACUACGGUGCUGAAGCAACAAAUGCCCUGCUUCCAGGAAAAGCCUCUAAGCAUCAGGUAA
rnacentral:rRNA from 1 species